AAUCAACGCUGGCGGCGUGCCUAACACAUGCAAGUCGCACGAGAAAGGGGAGCAAUCCCUGAGUAAAGUGGCGCACGGGUGAGUAACACGUGAAUCAUCUACCUCCGAGUGGGGAAUAACUGAGAGAAAUCUUAGCUAAUACCGCAUAACACUUACGAGUCAAAGCAGCAAUGCGCUUGGAGAGGAGUUCGCGGCCGAUUAGUUAGUUGGCGGGGUAAUGGCCCACCAAGACGAUGAUCGGUAUCCGGCCUGAGAGGGCGCACGGACACACUGGAACUGAAACACGGUCCAGACUCCUACGGGAGGCAGCAGGUGGGGAAUUUUGCGCAAUGGGGGAAACCCUGACGCAGCAACGCCGCGUGGAGGAUGAAGUAUCUUGGUACGUAAACUCCUUUCGA
rnacentral:rRNA from 1 species